rnacentral:rRNA from 2 species
AUGGUUAAGUUAGAAAGGGCGCACGGUGAAUGCCUUGGCACUAGGAGCCGAUGAAGGACGGGACUAACACCGAUAUGCUUCGGGGAGCUGUAAGUGAGCUUUGAUCCGGAGAUUUCCGAAUGGGGAAACCCACUGUUCGUAAUGGAACAGUAUCUUUAUCUGAAUACAUAGGAUAUUGAAGGCAGACCCGGGGAACUGAAACAUCUAAGUACCCGGAGGAAGAGAAAGCAAAUGCGAUUUCCUGAGUAGCGGCGAGCGAAACGGAAUUAGCCCAAACCAAGAGGCUUGCCUCUUGGGGUUGUAGGACACUCUAUACGGAGUUACAAAGGAACGAAGUAAAUGAAGCGACCUGGAAAGGUCCGUCGAAGAAGGUAACAACCCUGUAGUUGAAACUUCGUUCCCUCUUGAGUGGAUCCUGAGUACGGCGGAACACGUGAAAUUCCGUCGGAAGCUGGGAGGACCAUCUCCCAAGGCUAAAUACUACCUAGUGACCGAUAGUGAACCAGUACCGUGAGGGAAAGGUGAAAAGCACCCCGGAAGGGGAGUGAAAGAGAUCCUGAAACCGUGUGCCUACAAGUAGUCAGAGCCCGUUAACGGGUGAUGGCGUGCCUUUUGUAGAAUGAACCGGCGAGUUACGAUCCCAUGCAAGGUUAAGCUGAUAAGGCGGAGCCGUAGCGAAAGCGAGUCUGAAUAGGGCGUUUAGUAUGUGGUUGUAGACCCGAAACCAGGUGAUCUACCCAUGUCCAGGGUGAAGUUCAGGUAACACUGAAUGGAGGCCCGAACCCACGCACGUUGAAAAGUGCGGGGAUGAGGUGUGGGUAGCGGAGAAAUUCCAAUCGAACCUGGAGAUAGCUGGUUCUCUCCGAAAUAGCUUUAGGGCUAGCCUCAUGUUGUGAGAGUCUUGGAGGUAGAGCACUGAUUGGACUAGGGGCCCCCAACGGGUUACCGAAUUCAGUCAAACUCCGAAUGCCAAAGACUUAUCCAUGGGAGUCAGACUGCGAGUGAUAAGAUCCGUAGUCAAAAGGGAAACAGCCCAGACCACCAGCUAAGGUCCCCAAGUAUACGUUAAGUGGAAAAGGAUGUGGAGUUGCUUAGACAACCAGGAUGUUGGCUUAGAAGCAGCCACCAUUUAAAGAGUGCGUAAUAGCUCACUGGUCGAGUGACUCUGCGCCGAAAAUGUACCGGGGCUAAACGUAUCACCGAAGCUGUGGAUUGACAUCUUUGAUGUCAGUGGUAGGAGAGCGUUCUAAGUGCUGUGAAGUCAGACCGUAAGGACUGGUGGAGCGCUUAGAAGUGAGAAUGCCGGUAUGAGUAGCGAAAGACAAGUGAGAAUCUUGUCCACCGAAUGCCUAAGGUUUCCUGAGGAAGGCUCGUCCGCUCAGGGUUAGUCGGGACCUAAGCCGAGGCUGAAAAGCGUAGGCGAUGGCCAACAGGUUGAUAUUCCUGUACCACCUCCCCGCCGUUUGAGUAAUGGGGGGACGCAGUAGGAUAGGGUAAGCGCGCUGCUGGAUAUGCGCGUUCAAGCAGUUAGGCUGAUGAGUAGGCAAAUCCGCUCAUCAUAAAGGCUGAGCUGUGAUGACGAGGGAAUUAUAGUACCGAAGUUCCUGAUUCCACACUGCCAAGAAAAGCCUCUAGCGAGGCGGGAGGUGCCCGUACCGCAAACCGACACAGGUAGGCGAGGAGAGAAUCCUAAGGUGAUCGAGAGAACUCUCGUUAAGGAACUCGGCAAAAUGACCCCGUAACUUCGGGAGAAGGGGUGCUCUGGUAGGGUGUAUAGCCCGAGAGAGCCGCAGUGAAUAGGCCCAGGCGACUGUUUAGCAAAAACACAGGUCUCUGCGAAGCCGCAAGGCGAAGUAUAGGGGCUGACGCCUGCCCGGUGCUGGAAGGUUAAGAGGAGGGGUUAUCCUUUGGGAGAAGCUCUGAAUCGAAGCCCCAGUAAACGGCGGCCGUAACUAUAACGGUCCUAAGGUAGCGAAAUUCCUUGUCGGGUAAGUUCCGACCCGCACGAAAGGCGUAACGAUCUGGGCACUGUCUCAACGAGAGACUCGGUGAAAUUAUAGUACCUGUGAAGAUGCAGGUUACCCGCGACAGGACGGAAAGACCCCGUGGAGCUUUACUGUAGCCUGAUAUUGAAUUUUGGUACAGCUUGUACAGGAUAGGUAGGAGCCUGAGAAGCCGGAGCGCUAGCUUCGGUGGAGGCGUCGGUGGGAUACUACCCUGGCUGUAUUGAAAUUCUAACCCGCGGCCCUGAUCGGGCCGGGAGACAGUGUCAGGUGGGCAGUUUGACUGGGGCGGUCGCCUCCUAAAAUGUAACGGAGGCGCCCAAAGGUUCCCUCAGAAUGGUUGGAAAUCAUUCGUAGAGUGUAAAGGCACAAGGGAGCUUGACUGCGAGACCUACAAGUCGAGCAGGGACGAAAGUCGGGCUUAGUGAUCCGGUGGUUCCGCAUGGAAGGGCCAUCGCUCAACGGAUAAAAGCUACCCCGGGGAUAACAGGCUUAUCUCCCCCAAGAGUCCACAUCGACGGGGAGGUUUGGCACCUCGAUGUCGGCUCAUCGCAUCCUGGGGCUGUAGUCGGUCCCAAGGGUUGGGCUGUUCGCCCAUUAAAGCGGUACGCGAGCUGGGUUCAGAACGUCGUGAGACAGUUCGGUCCCUAUCCGUCGUGGGCGUAGGAAAUUUGAGAGGAGCUGUCCUUAGUACGAGAGGACCGGGAUGGACACACCGCUGGUGUACCAGUUGUCUUGCCAAAGGCAUCGCUGGGUAGCUAUGUGUGGACGGGAUAAGUGCUGAAAGCAUCUAAGCAUGAAGCCCCCCUCAAGAUGAGAUUUCCCAUAGCGCAAGCUAGUAAGAUCCCUGAAAGAUGAUCAGGUUGAUAGGUCAGAGGUGGAAGCGUGGCGACAUGUGUAGCUGACUGAUACUAAUCGAUCGAGGACUUAACCACAC